rnacentral:misc_RNA from 1 species
AGAUUUUCAGCCUAUUACAGUAGCAACCCUAGGAAGCCAUAGAAUAUCUAGGUCUUCUCAACAAAUAAAAUUGAUAUGUAGACAACAAUUUCGUUGUAAUAGUUAAUUAUGAUAAAUUUUAUCAUAAUUAAACUCAUUCUCAACACUAUCCUUUCUAUAUUUAAGUUGGAUGUCAACAAAGAACUUAGGCUGCAACCUGAUGCCUUUAAUAGGCAACAACAAAGCUAAACCCUAUCAAUAUCAUCACCUUUAGCCACGAACAAGCAAAACUAUAGAAUAGGCUUCGGGAGGGUGGCUUGAGCAGGGCGCUUUUUAAUCUCCUUUAAUCUUGUGGGUCGGUCAUCUAAGGUAAGCGGAAGGACAUAAUGACCUCGAAAAUGCUCAAGUCUUAACUAUUAAAGAACCUUCCAUUGAGUUAUGGCAACUCGAAACCCAAAUAAUGACCAAUGCAAAUAUUCAAAGAUUAAACCCUCCAUUAGAAUCCUCUAUAUCCGAAG